rnacentral:lncRNA from 1 species
UGGCGUAAUAUGAAAAAAAAAGUCUUUAUGGCAUUGUAAUAGCCCAAAUCUACCCGGGCCUUAAAACCAAAAAAAUAAUAAAUGAAUAAAUAAAUAUUUAUUUUAAAAGUCCAUUAAAGAGUCCGUGUACAAAAAAAAACACUUAACCCCAUAACCCAUUACAGAGCCCAAACAGUUGCGGCCCAAACAUUUAAGCUUCAAACCCGACAACCCAUUACACCCAAGCCCAGAUUUAAACACUCAGACCCAUCUACGCCGGAUGAUCCAAUAUCCUUGACCUAAGGAUACACGGGGCCCAAAAGGCCCAAAGCAGUAAACGGAUCAGGAAACCCUAGGGUUUCCUGAGAAGUUAGGCGCCGCAAAGGGGGAUUCUAGAUGCUUUGAGAUUCCAAAUGUCACGACUUUUCAGGUCCAAUGGCCCAAUCGUCGCCUUCAUCAGUGCGCCGUGACUCUUCGACUUCGCCACCAUGCAUCGCGCCACCAUCGGCGCCCGAAUCACGCCAGAAUUGUCAUGCGCUACAAUCCAACACUGGCCCCAUCAGCGCGCAGUCAUUGGUGCUCGAACGAAAUCCUUGCGAUUCGCCUGCAAGAAAAGGAAAGAAAAUCACAACAGACAUGCGAAGCGAAUACGGAAAGAAAUCAGAGAUUUCUUUCCAAAACUUGUAGUGGUUUAUCGAGGCUACAAAGCCUUCUUUUCAAUCUGUAGAAAGGACUUACACAAGAAAAACUUACACACGCAUAGUGAAAAAAAACACCAGAGAGAUAUACCAAAAAUACUGUACACAGAAUAUUUUUGCAAUAAUACACCAGAGAUUUUUACAGGAAACGAAGGUGAUAUAUAUAUAUUUUUUAUUUCUGUUUCAUUCUCUUUAUCACAAGUUCAUGCAUAUAAUACAUUGAAAAACAGAGGAGAAAGAUGUACCUUUAGAUUCGUCGCAAAAAGCGAAGCUUUUCGGAUCCCGACCACCGUGUGUGGCGGAGUUGGUGAUGCGCAUGGGGCUGAACACGGAGGUCCGAUGAACGAAGCGGAUCGGCCCAGGGCCGGAGCUCAGAGGUCUGGGAAAUUUCAAAGGGUUUUUUUUUUGCUUUUUUACAGGGGGUUAAAAUGAUUUUUUU